UGCGCAGGCGGUCUUGCAAGACAGAUGUGAAAUCCCCGGGCUUAACCUGGGAACUGCGUUUGUGACUGCGAGGCUUGAGUGCAGCAGAGGGGGGUGGAAUUCCACGUGUAGCAGUGAAAUGCGUAGAGAUGUGGAGGAACACCGAUGGCGAAGGCAGCCCCCUGGGUUGACACUGACGCUCAUGCACGAAAGCGUGGGGAGCAAACAGGAUUAGAUACCCUGGUAGUCCACGCCCUAAACGAUGUCAACUAGGUGUUGGGGAAGGAGACUUUCUUAGUACCGAAGCUAACGCGUGAAGUUGACCGCCGUGGGGAGUACGGCCGCAAGGUUAAA
rnacentral:rRNA from 1 species